rnacentral:rRNA from 1 species
AAAGGAAUUGACGGGGGAACACCACAACCGGUGGGGGCUGCGGUUUAAUUAGAUCAAACGCAGCGCACCCUACCAGAGCCGACAGCAGAAUGACGGUCAGCUUGAAGAGCUUACCUGACGCGCUGAGAGGAGCUGCAUGGCCGCCGUCAGCUCGUGCCGUGAGGUGUCCGGUUAAGUCCGGUAACGAGCGAGACCCGCAUCGCAUGUUGCAACGGAGCCCUUCGGGGCUUCAGCACUCGUGCGAGACCGCUGUCGAUAAGACAGAGGAAGGAGCGGGCCACGGUAGGUCAGUAUGGCCCGAAUGCUCUGGGAUACACGCGGCCCACAAUGACCGGAACAAAGGGAUGCGACCCCGAAAGGGGAAGCUAACCCUCUAAAUCCGGUCCUAGUCCGGAUCGAGGACUGCAACUCGUUCUCGUGAAGGCGAAAUCGGUAGUAGUCGCUGGUCAUCAUCUAGCGGCGAAUAAGUCCCUGUUCCUUGUACACACCGCCUGUCAAGUCACCCGAGUUAGGUUCAGACGAGCCUCUGGAUUUCCAGAUGCAAGUCUGAGCUUGGCAAGGGGGGCUAAGUCGUAACAAGGUAGCCG